UUUUAAGUACUGCUAGGGGCACUUGGAAUUUUGUCCGGCAUCUGGCAACGCUGGCACAGGGAAGUGCCAGCGAGGCACAUAUGAACAUGGAUGUGAAUUUGUGCCGGUUGCCGGGAAAAAGAAAAGGGUUCGCAAAAUUCUUAGUGCCCCUUGCAGUUCUUAUGU
rfam:Roseburia sp. CAG:45 genomic scaffold, scf69